rnacentral:rRNA from 1 species
UACGUAGGGGGCAAGCGUUGUCCGGAAUCAUUGGGCGUAAAGAGCGUGUAGGCGGUUCGGUAAGUCGGCUGUGAAAGUCCAGGGCUCAACCCUGGGAUGCCGGUCGAUACUGCCGGACUAGAGUGCGGCAGAGGGGGAUGGAAUUCCGCGUGUAGCAGUGAAAUGCGUAGAUAUGCGGAGGAACACCGAUGGCGAAGGCAAUCCCCUGGGCCUGCACUGACGCUCAUGCACGAAAGCGUGGGGAGCAAACAGG